CGAAGGAAGUAAUCUGUGCACCUGUCUAUCUGGAUCAAUCACCAUCUCUGUGAUGAUCCUAUAAUAAGAUAUAAUUUAAGAAUUAACUAUCAAUGACACAUGUCUCAAAUUCUCAAUUCUUUAAGAAUAUGUGUCAUCAUUUUAUUAAUCCCUUGGAUGAUUCAUGGAUACAUAAAUAUGAAUGGUAAUAUAAUUGCCCAAUAAGUACAAAAUCAUAUCCUAGAGAUAUAAAAUGUAUCAGCCAAGAUUGGCUUCUAGGGUAUACAUCCAAC
rnacentral:lncRNA from 1 species